rnacentral:misc_RNA from 1 species
AAGUCGUAACAAGGUUUCCGUAGGUGAACCUGCGGAAGGAUCAUUCUUGAUAUUUGUUGCAUAUGCUUCAACUUUAAAUGUGCACUGUUAUCGUCAAUUUGGGGGUCAUUUAGAUCGCCAUAUGGACUGAUUUAUUUUUAUACUUUUCGUUAAUUGUACCAGAAAAACAAAACUUUAAACAACUUUUAGCAAUGGAUCUCUUGGCUCUC